GUAGGUGAACCUGCGGAAGGAUCAAUAUCGUAGGGCUUCGGCCCUGUCGAGAUAGAACCCUUGCCUUUUUUAGUACCUUUCGUCUCCUCGGCAGGCUCGCCUGCCAAUGGGGACCACCAAAAACACUUUGCAGUACCUGUAACAGUCUGAACAAACAAACAAAAAAUUAAAACUUUCAACAACGGAUCUCUUGGUUCUG
rnacentral:misc_RNA from 1 species